AGAGUUUGAUUCUGGCUCAGAACGAACGCUGGCGGCGUGGAUAAGACAUGCAAGUCGAACGAGAGAAUUGCUAGCUUGCUAAUAAUUCUCUAGUGGCGCACGGGUGAGUAACACGUGAGUAACCUGCCCCCGAGAGCGGGAUAGCCCUGGGAAACUGGGAUUAAUACCGCAUAGUAUCGAAAGAUUAAAGCAGCAAUGCGCUUGGGGAUGGGCUCGCGGCCUAUUAGUUAGUUGGUGAGGUAACGGCUCACCAAGGCGAUGACGGGUAGCCGGUCUGAGAGGAUGUCCGGCCACACUGGAACUGAGACACGGUCCAGACACCUACGGGUGGCAGCAGUCGAGAAUCAUUCACAAUGGGGGAAACCCUGAUGGUGUGACGCCGCGUGGGGGAAUGAAGGUCUUCGGAUUGUAAACCCCUGUCAUGUGGGAGCAAAUUAAAAAGAUAGUACCACAAGAGGAAGAGACGGCUAACUCUGUGCCAGCAGCCGCGGUAAUACAGAGGUCUCAAGCGUUGUUCGGAAUCACUGGGCGUAAAGCGUGCGUAGGCUGUUUCGUAAGUCGUGUGUGAAAGGCGCGGGCUCAACCCGCGGACGGCACAUGAUACUGCGAGACUAGAGUAAUGGAGGGGGAACCGGAAUUCUCGGUGUAGCAGUGAAAUGCGUAGAUAUCGAGAGGAACACUCGUGGCGAAGGCGGGUUCCUGGACAUUAACUGACGCUGAGGCACGAAGGCCAGGGGAGCGAAAGGGAUUAGAUACCCCUGUAGUCCUGGCAGUAAACGGUGCACGCUUGGUGUGCGGGGAAUCGACCCCCUGCGUGCCGGAGCUAACGCGUUAAGCGUGCCGCCUGGGGAGUACGGUCGCAAGAUUAAAACUCAAAGGAAUUGACGGGGGCCCGCACAAGCAGCGGAGCAUGUGGUUUAAUUCGAAGCAACGCGAAGAACCUUACCAGGUCUUGACAU
rnacentral:rRNA from 1 species